rnacentral:rRNA from 1 species
UAGGGAAUCUUCGGCAAUGGACGGAAGUCUGACCGAGCAACGCCGCGUGAGUGAAGAAGGUUUUCGGAUCGUAAAGCUCUGUUGUAAGAGAAGAACGAGUGUGAGAGUGGAGAGUUCACACUGUGACGGUAUCUUACCAGAAAGGGACGGCUAACUACGUGCCAGCAGCCGCGGUAAUACGUAGGUCCCGAGCGUUGUCCGGAUUUAUUGGGCGUAAAGCGAGCGCAGGCGGUUAGAUAAGUCUGAAGUUAAAGGCUGUGGCUUAACCAUAGUAGGCUUUGGAAACUGUUUAACUUGAGUGCAAGAGGGGAGAGUGGAAUUCCAUGUGUAGCGGUGAAAUGCGUAGAUAUAUGGAGGAACACCGGUGGCGAAAGCGGCUCUCUGGCUUGUAACUGACGCUGAGGCUCGAAAGCGUGGGGAGCAAACAGGAUUAGAUACCCUGGUAGUCCACGCUGUAAACGAUGAGUGCUAGGUGUUAGACCCUUUCCGGGGUUUAGUGCCGUAGCUAACGCAUUAAGCACUCCGCCUGGGGAGUACGACCGCAAGGUUG